CAAGGAGUGAGAAUGUUUUGUCAGAGUGACACAUGAUCAUGACUGCCUGCAGUCCAUUUUUGUUUACAGGCAGUGGAAGAAUUUCAGAUAUUUAUAAGGUCAGUGUCCCUAGUCCAGAGAAGAAGGAGCUGUGUUUGGUUUUAAAUUGUUGUUCUGCUUACAGAAUUGACUUCCAGUUGGGCUUGAGUGAAGGACUAGGCUCUGAGGUCCCUCUGUGCCUGAGACUGGGAUGUGAGCACCCUCCUUAGAGCAAGGCAGGAAUCCACUGCCAGGAACCACUGUGAGACGGAUCCAACCAGCCCUGCUGUACCCACCAUGCAGAGCCUCUUUGGGGCGUCCUGUCCAACCAGACCAGGUCUCCUGGUGGCAUCAUGAAAUGCCCAUCAGCUCCUCUCUGGCCACCACAGAGCUUUGGCUUGAGAAGAUGUUCAGGAUGUUGACAAAGAGUGGGUCUUAUCUACCAAAACCUGGCAAUGCAGCCUCGUCUGUCCUCCAUGGAGAGUGCAGCCCUCCGUGCUCGACUGGCUGAGGACCAUUUUCCUCUGGCUCCAACAGGAAAACCAGCACAGGUGACCUCCCUGGCACCAGCACAGAACCCCACUUCCCUGGCUGAUGGAGUCACCUUAUGAGAACGAGACCAGGACAGCUGGAUCACAGACCUGCAAACCAGGCUUGGGCAAGCUGAACUUGUGCUUUUACUGUGAAUGUAGGCUGAAAGUACAUGUAUUUUAACAACUUUGCUAUCCUUCUACAUGAAAGAAAGAUCUGCUUGCUUUCUCUUUAGACGAGUCCUUCUCCUGCAGUACUGAACUCCAUGGAUCUUCAAUCAAGUCAGCCCAAAAGGAACAGCAACAAUUUGGAGAGAGAUGGAACAACUUCAGCAGGACCCAAAGAAGGAUGUUUCUGCAGCCUUGAGCUUCAUGUUGGGUAUUUGGGAGCCCAAAUUUGAUAGCUAUG